rnacentral:rRNA from 1 species
UAAUAGGAAAUUAAGAGCAUAUGGUGGAUGCCUUGGCUAAAGAAGGCGAUGAAGGACGUAGCUUGGCUGCGAUAAGCUUCGGGGAGGUGCCUAGCAACCUUUGAUCCGGAGAUGUCCGAAUGGGGAAACCCCUCGUGCUUGCACGAGACGCGCGAAGCGCGAACGAGUUAUAAAGUGAAAAGUUUAUCAAGUUUAUCAAGUAAGAACGACAGAUUUUGUUUUUACUUUAUAAACUUUAUAACUUUAUGAACUUUUGACUUGCUCGCGCUUCGCGCGAGCGCACCCAGGGAAGUAAAACAUUUCAGUACCUGGAGGAAAAGAAAACAAGCGUGCUUCGCAUGCAGUUUAUAGAGUAAAAAGUUUAUAAAGUAAAAAGUCCAUAAAGUUCGUAAAGUGAAGAAAGGACUCCGUCCUUCUUUGACUUUCAACUUUUGACUUUCAACUUUCAAACUUUCAACUUGUAACUUGCGUGCGGAGCGCGCCCAUUGCGUCAGUAGCGGCGAGCGAAAGCGCAGAAGCCCAAACCUUGUGCGAAGCACACUGUACAUGACACUGAUGACACGAAUGUAAAGAACGAAUGACACGAAUAAAAUUAACAAAACUUGAUUUUAUUCGUGUCAUUCGCAUCUUCUAUUCGUAGAUUCGUGUCGAGUUCAGCGCGCUUCGCGCGAGGGGUUGUAAGACAAAAACGUUGUAUUUAUACGAGGGAAGUUACAAAUUAUUUUGUUAAUGGAAAGUUCUGGAAAGAACUGCCCCAGAGGGUAAUAGCCCCGUACAUGAAAGCAAAAUAACUUCUUUGUUUUUGUUCUUGAGUACCUCAAGACACGAAUGGCUUGGGGGAAUCUGCCGGAACUAACCGGUAAGGCUAAAUACUUCUUUAGACCGAUAGUGAACUAGUACCGCGAGGGAAAGGUGAAAAGAACCCCGGUGAGGGGAGUGAAAUAGACCUGAAACCAUAUGCUUACAAGGAGUCGGAGCCGCCGCAUCACAUGGAAUGUGAUUUAAGUUUAUCAAGUUCAUAAAGUUGCAAGUUCAUAAAGUAAAACCGAUGCCGGAUUUUAGAGGCUCGCUUUUCUUACUUGAUGAACUUUAUAACUUUUUACUUUAUAAACUGAUUUCGCGUUUCGCGUGAUGCGACGGUCACGGCGUGCCUAUUGAAGAAUGAGCCAACGAGUUUUAGUAUGCGGCGUGGCUAAGUGCCUCUAAAGCACGGAGCCGUAGGGAAACCGAGUGUGAAUAGCGCGUUUGUCGUAUACUAAAGACCCGAAGCCAGAUGAGCUUGCCAUGGGCAGGGUGAAGUUCGCCGAAAGGCGGAUGGAGGCCCGAACCGGUUAGCCGUGCAAUACUAUCGGAUGACCUGUGGUAAGGAGUGAAAAGCUAAUCGAAUCUGGUAAUAGCUGGUUUUCUCCGAAAUAGCUUUUGGGUUAGCGUCACACGUUCCUUUUGGGGGUAGAGCACUGGAAGGUUAAGACAGGGCGAAAGCUCGCUUGACCUAUCAAACUCCGAAUACCAGAAGAACCGUGCAAAGCACGGAGUUUAUAAAGUUAUAAAGUUAUAAAGUUCAUAAAGUCGGAAGGGGAAUUUCCCCGUCAAACUUUACAGACUUUACAAACUUGAUGAACUUGUAACUUCCGCGCUUUGCGCGGUAGAGUGUGGCAGUUAGACGGCGGGGGCUAAGCUCCGUUCGUCAAAAGGGAAACAGCCCGGAUCUCAAGUUAAGGUCCCUAAAUCUACGCUAAGUGCAUCUCAAGGUGGUGAAUUUUCAAAGACAGCGAGGAUGUAGGCUCAGAAGCAGCCAUCAUUCAAAGAAAGCGUAACAGCUCACUCGCUAAGAGAAUUUGCGCCGAAGAUAAUCGGGGCUAAGCGUAGUACCGAAACUGAGGGUGCCUUGUGCAAAGCACAAGAACGCGGAUAAUAUGCGGAUAAAACGCGGAUUAACGCGGAUGAAUUUCAUCCGCGAACAUCGGCGUCUUAUCGGCGACAAUCGGCGUUCGCGUGCUUUGCGCGAGGCGCGGUAGGAGAAUAUUCCAAUCUGCGAUGAAGCCAAAGGGGUGACCCAUGGUGGAGCGUUUGGAAGCAAGAAUGUUGGCACAAGUAACCACAAUGCGGGUGAGAAACCCGCACGCCGAAAGAUCAAGGUUUCCUUGGCGAUGAUUGUCAGCCAAGGGUUAGUCGGGCCUAAGGGGAUGGCGAAUGCCGGACCCGAUGGACACACGGUUAAUAUUCCGUGACUUUCAUAUAAUGCGAUGGGGGGACGAAGGAAACAAGCGGAGGCGCUUUAUUGGAUUAGUCGUCUCUUGAAAUGAGCGUAGCUUUUCAGGAAAAUCCGAAGAGCUGGUUUUAAUACCAUGCGCGUUUUCGGGAGAAAUUCUCCUUCGGGGGAAAAUCUUCGCGAAGAGCCUUCCGAGAAAAUCCUCUAAGCUUCAGUUAUAUGAAAACCGUACCGCAAACCGACACAGGUGAUCUGCUCGAGUAGAGUAAGGCGAACGAGUGAGAGGUCUCCAAGGAACUCGGCAAAAAAGCGGCCGUAAGUUAGCGAUAAGGCCUGCCUGGCGUGCAAAGCACGCAGUUCAUCAAGUUGAAAGUUCAUAAAGUUGUAAAGUUUAUAAAGUAAAAACAAAAUUUUCCGUUCUUACUUGAUAAACUUGAUAAACUUUUUACUUUACAAACUUGUGAUUUGCGCGCUUUGCGCGCUGGGCCGCAGCUAAAGUAUGCCUGGCGACUGUUUAUCAAAAACACAGCUCCCUGCGAACUCGAAAGAGGAUGUAUAGGGGGUGACACUUGACCAAUGCCAGAAGGUCAAAUAACGGCGGUACGUAUCACAUGGAAUGUGAA